rnacentral:rRNA from 1 species
AUGGCGUCGAGUUUUCCCCUGUACAAGUUAGCAGAGGUCCCACUGCUCAUCGAGUUGUGUUGUUUCCCCACGCCGACCACUGGAGAAGUUGGUGCUCGCCUCGUCGGGAUCGAGAUCUUCCAGGGUAAUGCUGGUUUCCUCCCCUCGAAUUUUCUCGUGCUUUCCGAUCUUCUCAUCCAUGGCAACAAUCGAUUAGCUUGUGCAGGUGCGGGUGAGAACCGCUUCAAGCCCAAGUGGUGGACCAAGGAAGUCCGGGAACUUGCUUACGACACAGAGGACUUCUUCGAAGAGGUUAUGCAGUCCCGUGGCGGUGGCGGUGGCGGCGACGGCGCCGUUGUUCGCAGAAGCGAUUGUCUUUGUACCAUCUUUACGGGAAAGCAGCGCCAGCUCCAGAUUGCAGAUGAUUUCUCACAAUUAAUGGCUCGUGUGGAUGAUGCCACAGAAAGAUGGCAAAGUUUGCUGCUUGUUCCGGAGACAGCUAUCAAACCUGACCGUGUGCAAGCCGGUAUUAGUUACCGCAUGCCUGAACUGCCCCUCGACCUGCCGGUGUCAACUCUGCCCAACUCCGGCGUCCAGGUGGACACUGCCGGCCAUAACAUAAUUGGUGUCGAGGAAUCCAUGGACAGGCUUGUUAGCUUGAUGGCUUUCGGCGAUGCCAACCAAAAACAACUGAAGGUGGCACCUAUAUUUGGAUCUGCAGGUGUUGGAAAAACAAAGAUUGCCAGAACAAUAUAUCAUCAGUAUGGAGGGGAAUUCCAGUGCCGGGCUUUUGUACGGGUGUCCCGAAAUCCCGAUAUGAGGAGGCUUCUCACCUGCAUCCUCUCACAAAUUAAGGCACCAGGGACUCAUGCUUUUUCUGAUGCGCAUGACCUUAUUGACAGUAUCGUCAAACAUCUUCAAGGGAAAAGGUAUAUUUCCAUGUUGUUCUGA